GAUUUUGCCAUGCAUGCAGGCGUGUAGCGCGUACUAGUCGUGCUCAAGGCGACGUGUACGCGUAACAAAAGUUUAGUGCAUCGAGGCGUCCCGCGCGCCCUCCAUCUCCAAAAAGGCAUCGAAAGAGUAGGUCGGGGGAGAGGGAAAAUUUGGGCGGCCAGAGGGAGUGCUCAGUAAUGUGACAAGACAACACACUGCUCACGUGGCGUGGGACAGCUGCAAGUUGCAUUUACACGAAGCUACUCCGCUCUCUCCUUCGUCAUGGUAAUUCAUCACUUGUCCCCGAGCAGAGCAAUCUACCUCCUUCCCCCACUGACACUGUAGAACAAAUCUGGUGGCCACCGGUGGAGCAAAGAUCGACCAUCCGGCGUCGGUUCCGGCAGCUAGAUGGAGCCUCCGGAUCGUCCAGGAAAGAGGGGUCUACCCACCCAAUGGUGAUGUAGUUACGAGCUUUAGAAAGAAGAAGUCAAGAUCCGAGCAUGGUGAAAGCGAAGAUCGGGACAGCGAUGGGGAUGCCGCGGAUCCGAUUGUAGUUUCCAGCGGCGGCGGUGACAUACUAGCAUCAGAAAGCUCGAUUUUGAGAUUGAGAACAGAAGGAAGGCAGCGAGGAGGGGUAGAAAGUGGAAGCAGCCCUGUGGUGGAGGAUCUACGGGCGGGACGACGGGCAAAAGAUCUCGCAGAACACUAGUACUAGUUCCGGCCACCGCAUCUGGAUCUGCACGAACAAGAACUCCGGCAGUUGGUAGGCAUCUAGUGGCCAUUGCAGCACCUGAGAUGGAAAGAGAGAGUCAGUUACUCCGUGGUAGGAUAGUUAGAUGCACCUGUACUAGCAAGUACAUCGUCCGUCUCGGCCUAAGGUACUAUCCCGUUUGUUGACCACUGCUUGGUCUGGAGAGGCAGAUAGGAGAUUUUACGCCUGGCUGCUUAGCAGGUUCCGUUGGCAAGAUAUGAGAUUCACAUUCCCUGACGGCCAGUUUAGGAUCUUCAGCCCAGCAUCCAUAGUUAGAACCUUGGGUCUAAAGAAUAGUGGGCGACAUGUGAGCUUGCUAAAGAUACCUCGAAAGCAGAGGCAAAACAUAGCAGAAGAGAUCAGGAGUGCACUGGGCAGACACAAUCAUCCGGGCAUGCGAGAUGGUGGAUUGAGCAUAGAAGCAAUCUUAGAGAUGUUCCGACACAUGAAUCCACUGAAACUAUCUCGAGCUCAGGAGAGGGCUGCAGAGAUGGGGUUUUCACUUCUAGCUGCUGGUACAUAUGUUGCCCCAAAGCAAUUGUACCAGAACAUAGCUUGGGAAAUACUUGCAUGUGUGCUAUGCGAAGGCGGGACAUCAGAUUAUGACCUGGCAGAAUGGGCAUUUGAAGUAAUUAGGGAAGCAUGAAGAAGCUGUGUGAAGAUCUGGCAGCUGGGAUACGAACAUUAAGAUUACCAGGUUGCCACUUGGCUAUCAUUACAAAACCAGUGGGCUACCUUGAUGGCAUAGAUGAGGUGUGGAAUCCAAUUGUUGGACAGCCUGGUGGCUUAUAGGUUAAUCCAUCGCAGAUGGAGGCUUUGCAGCAAGUUCAACCAGAGAUUGUGACUGCUCAAGUCAGGCGUAUGUCAGACAGGGAAUCUAGGCCGGGGAGAGCAGAGCAUACAGACAGUGGAACCUCUGGUGAGCAUGCUCCAGGCAAGGGAAAAGAGAAAAUGGAUGAACAAAUUGAAUCAUCGAGUAGCGACAGUGAUGACCACUAUGUACACCCACACGAAUGAGCUGCUAGAAGACUGCAAAGGGCUGAGAACAGAGGUGAACCAAUACAAACGAACCGCCGACCAGGGAGCAUCCAUAUCUCAGGUGGUUUAGAGAAUGUGCCGAUCGCAGUGCGAGCACCACGUAGUUUGAGCCGGGUGAGGGCCAAACUUCAGUAUAGAGGCACUGGGUGGCAAGGAGGAAGCAGCAGCAGUGUGCUUUCGAGGGCUCUGAACAGUGAAGGGAUCUCAACGGAAGGGGGUUUGGUCCGUCGAGCUGUGGAUGGAAAUAAUCCGUCAGAUGAACUAACGGCAAUAAGCAACAGGCUAAAAACUCAUCGAAUACACAAGAAGUCAGAAGGGUUUGUCGCUCAGGAUACAUGAAUCGAACCUAGUUGUCUCGGACGAUAUUGAUGAGCCAGCUAACAAUGGGAGAGCCGAACGGCUGAGGAGCCUGGCCAUAGCAGCUCUGAACUUGGUCGAACGAGCUGUUGACAAUCUAGAAUUGUUUGAUGGAAUCUUCGAGGAAGCUACAAAUUUGCUAUCAGGAUUGGGCUUAGGUGGUAACAGUAGAGAGCCCUCAACUCUAGUUCAUGCACAUGGCAAUGGCAACCCAGCGGUCGAAAGAAAUGAUGAGAAAGACGACAUUGAUUGGGAUGAUCUUGAGAACAAAAGCCCACCACUUGCAAUGCAGGAACAGAUUGAUGGUGACAAUCUGUUAGCGAGGAACCUGGAAGUCCUGUACAAUGAAUCAGAUAUGCAUGAUGCGCCAGUAAACGUUGCAUCAAAGAUUCAGGAAGAUAUCGUGGGGGGGGGGGGGGUGAAUUGGCAGUGAUUGGCACGCCAAAUGCGGCAGCAGAUGAUGAGAACAUGGAGCAGCAGAUUGCCUUGACUCUAUUAGAAGACGUGAUUUGUGAAGACCACAUAAAUUACCUGCUAUCAUGUAUGAACACUUGCAUCCGAUGGAUUGCCUGGAUUGGAGCAACAAUGGUAGUUGGGAGUGGGUGGCCCGGCGACGAUACAGAUGUUGAUCCUCCAUGCAAUGGAAUGAUACUACUCGGUUGGCAUGAUGAAGGAUACGAGGCACAAGCUAAAGCGAGCAGGGAAGGGGUCCGCAAUAGCCAGAAGAAGAAAUCACGAAGACGAUUUGUGGAUGUUACAACGAAUUGUCGUCCAGGACCAAGAUAGCGUAGGGAAGACGAAGACGGGGGUGACGGCCCUACUUCAACCGAGAGACUAUCUGGUGAAGGAGGUGCCUCUGCAGGCAGAUUCCAGCAGGCUAUUAUGAGCUACCUGAAAAAUGUGGGAUCAAGUGCAAUAGUAACAAACAGAGUAAGGAUCAUGGGACUGAGAUGAAGGCACCGACUUGUGAAGAUAUUUCAAAGGGUAGAAGCGAAUGGGGGGACAAGUACCCACCAUUCGUUGGCCUAUCUCAUGAUGAACCGUCUAAGGAGAGUAUUGAGAUGUUCUAUACUAACAUGAUGCAGUGCCCCGAUACAGUGCUCAAAAGGAAAUGGGUGGAGCACUUCCAUCCAAUCCUGGCAGUGGCAUCUGGACAGGAAAUUAAGGAUGAACUCACUCCAGGUGGUGGUGUGUCGUUUAACCUCAUGCGAUGCAUAGUGCGCGCACUAGUGGUGAAAGAUAACAAAAUGUACAAAGGCUGGCUGGACCGCUGGAGAGGGCUCUUUGAUCCUAGAUUUGUGGAUGAGGUCUGUAAGGAAGAUGCUGAAAAGGACUGGGAUUACAUUUACAUCAUGAUGGACUCUAAGUUGUGGGUUACAAAAUUGAAUGGCUGACCAAGUGAGGACAGUGGAUUAUACAUGGUGCACUACUUCAUGGAGUUCACCGGGAUUUACAUUCGGUCGUAAACCAGUUCUAUUGCACAAGAUCAGCUAAAUGGUAUGCGAAAGAAGCUAGCUUACGAGAUAGUGGUGAUGAAGGGGAACAAAGGGGACAUCCCUGAGUUCUUGUAUGGAGCGAUCGUUGAAUGAACUUGGAAGGAAACAUGUUAAUUGCAGUUAGUAGUGGAGCCUACCAAAAUCUUUUGGCGGCACGAUUAGUUUGCAUUUGACUAACUGCCAGGAUUGAAAAUGUUUGAAAUUUGGUACCAGAUGGACAAACCCCCUAGAUUAUAAUUUGUAUGCACUAUGGAACUGUAAUGUGAAACCCUAAUUUAGAACUAGAUGAACUUGUGAGCUAUGGUAUUGUAAAGUACUGGUUUAUGGACCGUACAAGCAGACAAUGCAGUACUUUGCAUGUUAGAUGAUGUGUUGAGACAUGCUGAAGUCUGUGUCGAAAAAAGCAUCUCAAAAAUGUUGA